rnacentral:lncRNA from 1 species
UGCCUCCUAAACUUGCUCAUUUUCAAUCCUGGUCAACAGUACCCAAAUUAAAUACUGGUUAGGGACCUUAUCAGUUAGAGAUGAGNGACUUGGUCAUCUUUGCUAGAGCUCUUUCACUAAAGCAUCUUAUGUGGUAAGCUGGUGAUGAGACUGGGCAACAGAAAUCAUAGGUCCUUCAGAUUCCUGAUCCUGAAUUCAUCCUGCUAGAGCAAUAGGGUAUGCAGGUAAGAUCCAAAAGGACAGUACUGUGCCUUAGGCAGGAGAUCCAUUCAGUGAACACGAUUUUCAGGAANGCAAAAGCACCUGAAGCCUGAUAGAAGCAAAAAGUCAUGGGGCCUGAGAAGAUUUUUUAAAACGGAAACUAUUGAAGAAUUCACAGAAUCAAGGGGAAAUACAUUCGAGAAGGCUAUAAAUAGCAUCAAGUCCUCAGGGACCCUGAUGGAAUGAGCCAAUCUGGUUCCGUAGAUCUACCAAAAAGAAAGGGCUAACGAUAGAGUAUCCUGAAGACCGGGGCGGGGGAGGAGAGACAUGAACACGACAGAACCAGAAAGUCGUCGAGGGGCAGCGCGGAACCGUCCGCGGAGUCGGCCAGGUAAAGGACUAAUGUGAAGGCGAAUCUACCAAACGAAAUCAAGGAUGCAGCCAGCUUCAGCGUUCAACUUUCCCGUGCAAAAAGAGACUCAAGCAUGUACCUCAUGGGCCGAGGAAAAGUGUCUGGGAAAACUGCCGGAGGCAGGAGGGGAACAUAUACCCCGCCCUUCACCCGAAGGUCCCAGGGCAGGACGCAACAAGAAAAAUCUAAAANAUAUAAAAUAUGCAAGCCCUUCUAACUUCAGCGUCGUAAGACCUGGCAGUUUGGGAGCACACGACGCGCAAAACCAAAACCCUUUGCAGCAGCAAUGCACAAUCUAUUUCUUAAAGAAGCGAACCUUAUUAGACUUGAUAAAUCAAUUAUUCUGUUUCAAAAGGUCAAAGCAAAGCCNGUUUGGGAUCUUCUCCUAAAGCAAGACGGCCUUCAGCUAUUCUGCCUUGCUGAAGAACCUUAGGAUCGCUUUGAAGAUCGAUGUUUGCUCACAAGUCCUAUUAUGAGAAUUUCUCACACCCAAGCCUACAUGCAUAGAUAAUUUGCAUCCUAGCAUUUUUUUUAAAAACCCAGCCACUGGCGGAUCGGAUGUACAUUUGCUAUAAAAUCUGCAUUACAGGACUGAUACUGCAAGAGAAACAAAAUCACAUCACAGACGUUGGGAAAAACCCUGCCUUCUGUUCGAACACGCGCUCUUGAAUUCUGACAAUAGAACUGGAGGCUUUCUGAUGCAUUACUGAAUUACUUCGCAAGUAAUUCCCGAUAGAGUUUAUGAGGUUUAUUUCCCGCCUCAGUGCGCUUAGGAUCGAGGCGAAGGAGAAGCUCGUGGCGGGAAAAACGGCUGAAUCUCCUCGCAGCAUCUUCAUUCAGCAUCAGCCUGCACCGCGAAGAGCGGUAUAAAGAGCCGUAGAAGACACAAAGGGAGCCGUUAGCCUGCCCUGCCCAUCCCUACGAGGUGUCCACUGUCCCGCGCCGUACAGAAAAGGAAAAGUCUGCCCCCAAGUGGAGAACUCCAGGAUCACUCUCGAUUCCGAGUCAGCCAUNUUUUGCAGAUGUCUACUCUCUCCAUUUGUUCAUCACUUCGAAGCCGCAGCAGACAGCAUACGCCUUUUUUGAUGCGUAGUGGAUUUUUGGCUCCUUCCAAAAAGGGCUGUGUCCUUCCUGCCUACAACCAAAAUUACGCAAGACUUCCUUAAAUCAGCCUUUUUUUGUUACGUUUGAAUGCAUGCACACAGGAGUGAGAAUACAUGCACACACACACGCAUAAGUAUUAAGUUACGCCCAUUCAUUGUCAAAUCGGGGCAAGCUGCGGGUUGCCUUCAAACACAUUCUUCACACGUGCAAUGAGGUCACGAUUGUUCAGAUCCUAGAAGUGCAACAACGUAUUCAUUCGAUUGUCUGUGAGGUUGGGAAAACACAAUUCNGCAGACGGAGCUCUCAAUAGUUUGCACUAUGGUGGCAAUUUCUGNAUCGAAAAUUAAGUAGAGAACAAAAGAAAUACAUUUAUGUUAAACCUGCAAAUUCUCAUCUACAUUGAGAAAUGCACAUUGAAUACGGAAGUGGUCUUUUGAAAACAAACACAAAAAUCCUACUGAAGUAAAGUGUAAUUACCCAAUCUCAGCAUUCUGAUGGGUUGAUGAAAUAGAGCGUAUUUCCCACUAAAGGACCAUUCUCUAAUAAAGCAGGACGCUUUCUCCUCCCUUCCUCA